GUAAUCUUCACCACCACCACCAGACUAAUUGCAAAUCAGUUUCUCUUCUUCUUCUCCUCCUCUUAUUAAAACCACUUCAUUUCCAAUCGUAGUAUUUUCCGUGCCUUCUCAUCAUCAUCAUUUGCUGUUAAUAGUACGAUGGCUCAUGUCUCCGAUUCUUCUAUGGAUGCUGUUCAGAGACGUCUUAAUAUUCGAAGAUGAUAACGGUCUACUAAGGUAACCUUCCCCUUGGUUUGGACGAAUACCUGUUGCAGCCAUUGUCAUGAAAUCGAGGGUGUUUGUAAUGCUGGGCAAAGGAAGCUGUCAGAAGAAUUGGGUAUUCCUGCUGAAGAUUGCCUGUCUCUAGUUCGAAUUCUGUAUAAGGCAACAUCAGAUGGCAAGUGGGGGGAGC